CCCUCCUCAAGAUGGCGCUGCACUCAACGCGGAAGACGCGUGGGUACUGGAGCUUCAUCCGGGCACUUCACAAAGGACCCGAAGCUGCCCCUGCUCCCCAGAAAGAUGCUGUCAGGCGAGUGUUCUCAGGCAUUCAGCCUACAGGGAUCCCUCACCUCGGCAAUUACCUGGGGGCCAUCGAGAGCUGGGUGAGCCUACAGGAUGAGCCCGGCUCCGUGCUGUACAGCAUCGUUGACCUGCACUCCAUCACGGUCCCCCAAGACCCAGCCGUGCUGCGGCAGAGCGUCCGGGACAUGACGGCCGCGCUCCUUGCCUGCGGCAUAAACCCGGAGAAGAGCACCCUUUUCCAGCAGUCUCAGGUGGCCGAACACACACAAUUAAGUUGGAUCCUCACCUGCAUGGUCAGACUACCCCGAUUACAGCAUUUACACCAGUGGAAGGCAAAGACUGCCAGGCAGAAGCACGAUGGAACCGUGGGCCUGCUCACGUACCCGGUGCUCCAGGCGGCUGACAUCCUGCUAUACAACAGAUACUUGUUUAGCACCUGCAAUGCCACACAUCCAGGGAAAGGCAGGGGCGUGGACUUGAGGGAGAGGGGAGGAAGGAACCAGCAUGUGGCAAGUGCUGCCGCCCGGCCGUGCUGGCUGCUGCGGCUGCUGCACACACGUCACCUUUUCCGGGUCUCGCCGCUGCAGCUCUGCCACGCAGCUCAGUGGUGUUUUCCCAUGUUGCAGAGAAGGAAGUGAAGUUUCAGGGAGGUGCUGCUAACUACUCGGAUGGAGAUGGGAGUGAUUGCCUGGCUACUGACUUUCUUUCUCAAGAAUUUGAACAGGGAAAUGUGGGAAGAGGAUAAGAAGAUAGUGAAAGCGAAAGCCGAGGUGACAAAGGAAAACGAGGAAACAGAGGCGUCAAGGAACAGUGAGUGUGCAGAACGAAGAGCAGACAAUAGCAGAGCAGAGCCAGUAAGCAGACUGGUUGGUGACAUCCCUCCCGCUAAUGCCACAGAAGGGCUGAGUCAGUAUCAGGUCUGAGGGUCAGACCCUGCCACUGAGGACAGUCGAGAUGAUCGUCCCUCGAACUGCUUUGGAGACUGACUUCCAGGUCCUGGCUGACAUCCUUUGUCUGUGAGGCCAGGCCAGGCUGUCCCGUCUCCAGGAGGUCCUGGAAGCUGCCAGCCGGACCUCCUCUCAGCGGUCUCCUGAUGUCCUCACACUCUCGGGCCACUGCCAAAGCAAUGGUCUCUUCUCCGUCUCACUUCCCAGCUCUCAGGCAGGCGCCACACAGAGCCGGCACCUCCCGGAAGGCACUCUGAGGAAUAGCCUUCAGGGAGAGAAGAGCCCUGCCAUGUCAACAGGCCACCCAGGACAUUCUCCUACAAGCCGUGGGGAGCUGUCUGUGCAUCUUAAGGACGGUGUGAACUAAUGCUAUGUAUACUUUCAAAAGAGAACUGAUUAACAUACAGAAACUAAGCUGGGGGACAAAAGCAGCUGGGGCAGUCUGCUGAGAGGCUCUUUCCUAGUCUGUUUGGACCCGGAGGGUGACAGUAAAGUUGAAAAGAGGAGACAAACUUGGAGAUGUUAGGAGGCGAACUGCAUAGGCCUCCUAAUGGAGCGGACGCGUGUGGGGAGAGGCAUCUGGGACGACUUUGCAUUUCUGACUCCGCUCCUGGACCGGUGGCAUCGUGGCUCACUGAGGUAGGGACACCGCAAGGGGACUGGCCAGAAGGGCGUGUGGCUUCAUUGAGUGUUGUCUCUGCUCCCGGAAGCCUUGACUCCAUAGACGGAUACGUCUGUCUCUGCCAGCUGCCCGCCCCAGGCUUUGCACACCGCAGGUCUUCAGUAAGUAAUUGCUACACCAGAGUCCUCACGGCGAAUUCAGCAAGCAACCAGUGACGGUGAAUUAAUCCUUUAUAAAAGGAAAAACAGCACCAAACUCCUGUCCUAGUUGGGCUGGUUAAAGGCCGCAGCGUGGAAAGCUCACAGCCAAAGAAGUGGGGGGCAGGGGGCAACCAAGAGAACGAAUCUCUGCCCGCAGAUCUAUGUAGGCAAUGAUUAUUCAUCUAGACACUAAUUCUGCCAAAGGGUUGGGGUGGAUCCCCAGUGAACGUAAACGCGACGAGGAACUCAGCAAAAGAAAAAUGGUUUAGUCACCAGAGAAGAUCAGACGCAUUAUUAUGUGACAGAAGUUAUAACAAUCAAAAUUAUGAAAGGCUUUUGUUUUAUGUUGUGUCUAAGAAAGCACACUCAGGGUCCACACACGUCCCUGUCGGGGAGGAUCAAGUGCAGCACAUGGAGCUAGUUCAGGAUCUCGCUCGAG